CAUAAGAUCCAGGCUGCAUAAGCAGUCGGGAGCAAAGGCCCGCAAGGGUCGCUGGGGGAGGGGGCUGCGNCCGAUUAGCUAGUUGGUGAGGUAAUGGCCCACCAAGGCGAUGAUCGGUAGCCGGCCUGAGAGGGCGCACGGCCACACUGGCACUGAAACACGGGCCAGACUCCUACGGGAGGCAGCAGUGNGGAAUUUUGCACAAUGACCGAAAGGGUGAUGCAGCAACGCCGCGUGAGGGAUGAAGGCCUUCGGGUCGUAAACCUCUUUCGACCGGGAAAAACGGGCUCGUGAAGAGCGAGUUCUGAUGGUACCGGAUGAAGAAGCC
rnacentral:rRNA from 1 species